ACAUACCUCCUGCUUGCUCAAUUGAUCAUGACCCUCUCUCACAGACCCCCAUAGAGUUGUAAGCCCUUAAAAGGGACAGGAAUUACUCACUUGGGGAGCUUGGCUCUUGAGACAGGAGUCUUGCUGAUGCUCCUGGCUGAAUAAACCUCUUCCUUCUUUAACUCAGUGUCUGAGGAGUUUGUCUGCAGCUCGCCCUGCUACAUUUCUUGGUUCCCUGACCGGGAAGGAAGGUGAUUGGCAGAUGGUCAAGGCAGCUCCUUAGGCGACUUAAGCCUGCCCUGUGGAACAUCCCUGCGGGGGACUCCAACCAGCCCAAGCCACACGGAUACUGAGAGCACUCCCGGGUAGGCAUUUGCUCCAGUGAGAUGCCUCGCCAGAGCAGUGUGUGGCAGCCCCCCAUGGAGGAUCAAUGCAGUGGCUGAACACUGGGAAGGAACUGAUACUUGGAGUCCAGACAUCUGAAACUUGCACUUGUACCACCCCUAGAAUUUCCGGUAAACCAGCGCCAGCCUGAAGAACACGUUCUCAUCAAAAGGUGGAAAGAAGAAAACUCGAGCCAGCCUCAGAAGGACCCUACCUUGUGCUGCUAACCACCAAGACUGCUGUUUGUACAGCAAAAAAGGAUAGACUCAUCACACCCGAGUCAGGAAAGCGCCACCCCCUCCAGAGUCGUGGGCCAUAGUCCCGGGGAAAACCCUACCAAACUAAAGCUAAGAAAAAUUUAACUCUUUUCACCUAUUCUAUUACUCUUUCUUCUUUCCUCGUUCUAUUGCUGACCAUCUAGUUAUUAACAUAACCAAGUCAAUUUUGCCUCAAACUUGCAUUUAAUGCUUGCCUUGUGGAGACUUGCCAAGUCAAAGACAGUUUUCUACUUCAGAAAAGUACCUCUGUUCCUCCUGACUUUCCUUAGACUGGGCAUUAGUAAACUAGGACCAUUUAAUCCAGGGAGAUUUCGAUAAAGACCCCAGUGCCAACCAGGAGUCUUGCCCCCUGAUGUAGAGCUUUCAUGCCAUAGUUGGUCCAACAUUCUGUGGACCACUAAAGAGCAAGGAUGGACUGCCCCAACCGGUUUUUGUAAUUUCCUAAAAUCAUACAUUCAUUUUACUAGAGGAUCAUGGAAGUUAAAGACUUACAACAAACUUUAGCAAUUAAGACAGGAUACCAAGAUGCAAAUGCCUGGUUAAAAUGGAUCAAAUAUUCCAUCUGCACAUUAAACAAAAGCAAUUGUUAUGCUUGUGCACAUGGCAGGCCAGAGGCACAGAUUGUCCCCCUUCCACUAAGGUGGACCUCCAGUCGACCAGGCAUAGGCUGCAUGGUAGCUCUUUUCCAGUAUUCUACAGCCUGGAGUAAUAAGUCAUGCCAAGCUCUCUCUGCUCUAUCCCAAAGUCCGGCACCCUGCAGGUCAGCCCCCAAGGGCCAUCCAGCUUCCAUCUCCCAACACUAAGUUCACUUCGUGUCUCUCACGACAGGGAGGAAACAGCAUUCCUUGGAGACCUGAAGGGAUGUGAUGAGCUUAAGAAUUUUCAAGAGCUUAUCAGUCAGUCAGCCCUUGUUCAUCCCUGAGUGGAUGUAUGGUGGUAUUGUGGUGGACCUUUACUGGGCACUCUGCCAAAUAACUAGAGUGGCACUUGUGCUUUAGUCCAUUUGGCUGUCCCUUUCACCCUGGCAUUUCAUCAACCAGAGGUAGAAAAAAUAAGACAUCGUAAAGUGAGAGAAGCCCCUUAUGGGUCUUUCAACUCUCACAUCUAUUUAGAUGCAGUUGGAGCCCCGCAAGGAAUACCAGAUCAAUUUAAAGCUUGAAAUCAAAUAGCUGCAGGAUUUAAGUCAAUAUUUUAGUGGGUGACAGUUAACAAAAAUGUAGAUUAGAUAAACUAUAUCUAUUACAACCAACAGCAACAAGCUUUUCAUGAGUUAAAAGAAAAACUCAUGUCGGCCUCAGCCCUGGGGCUACCUGACCUGACAAAACCCUUUACACCCUAUGUGUCAGAAAAAAAAAAUGGCAGUUGGAGUUUUAACCCAGACUUUAGGGCCCUGGCAAAGGCCAGUGGCCUAUCUCUCAAAACAACUAGACAGGGUUUCCAAGGGCUGGCCCCCAUGUCUAAGGGCCCUGGCAGCAACGGCCUUGUUAGCACAAGAAGCAGAUAAGCUAACUCUUAGGCAAAACCUAAACAUAAAGUACCCCCAUGCUGUGGUGACUUUAAUAAAUACCAAAGGACAUCAUUAGCUAAUCAAUGCUAGACUAACUAGAUACCAAAUCUUGCUCUAUGAAAAUCCCCGCAUAACCAUUGAAGUUUACAACACCCUAAACCCCGCCACCUUGCUCCCGGUAUCAGAGAGCCCAGUUGAACAUAACUGUGUAGAGAUAUUGGACUCAGUUUAUUCUAGUGGGCCCAACCUCCAAACCAUCCUUAAACAGCAGUAGACUGAGAGCUGUAUGUGGAUGGGAGCAGCUUUGCCAACUCCUGCAAAGUGGCUCUGAAGAAGACAACAAGCCCUGCUCCAGUCACACACCUGGAAGCUGACUGAUCCAUGCAUGGCCAAAGCAUGAGGAAACUCAUCACGGGACUCAUUUUGCUUAAAAUUUGGACUUGUACAGUAAGGACUUCAACUGACCUUCCUGAGACUGAGGACUGUUCCCAGUGUAUACAUCAAGUCACUGAGGGUCUCACUCUGUUGCUCAGCCUGAAGUGCACUGUGGCACCAUCUCGGUUCACUGCAACCUCCACCUCCUGGGCUCAAGCGAUUCUCCUGCCUUGGCCUCCCAAGUAGCUGGGACUACAGGAGCACCACACCAUACUUGGCUAAUUUUUGGAUUUUUUGUAGAGACAGGGUUUCACCAUGUUGCCCAGGUUGGUCUGGAAUUCCUAAGCUCAAGCAAUCCACCUGCCUCAGCCUCCCAAAGUGCUGGGAGUGCAAGCAAGAGCCACUGCACAAACCUCUUGUCAACAAUCUAUAAGAAUUUCUGUUUCCCCUCAACUUCCCUAUCCCUGUCUACUAUCAAGCUAUUUGAUGCUUACAAAUUUGAUUGGGUUAAAAUGUUUUCUCAUUGUGAUUUUUAUUAGCAUUUUUAAGAUUGUGAAUGAGCAUCUUUUCUUACCUUUUUAAGAUUUUCUUAUGUUUAUUUCCUUUGUCCAUAAUCUAUCCAGUGUUAUUUUAAAUUGUUGAUUUAUAAAUACUCUUUAUAUAUUUAGAAAAUAAUAUUUUGUUGGUCAUAUGUGUUGCAAAUAUGGUUUCACAGUUUUUGUUAUUUGCUUUUGACUUUCUUGUUUUCUUUCUCCCUCAGCAGAUUUUACAUAGGCAAAUAUAUCCAUUGUAUUAGUCUGUUUUCACUCUGCUACUAAAGACAUAUCGAGACUGGGUAAUUAAUAAAGGAAAGAGGCUUAAUGGACUCACAGUUCCACAUGGCUGAGGAGGCCUCACAUUCGUGGCAGAAGAUGAAGGAAAGCUAACGAACAUCUUACAUGGUGGCAGGCAAGAGCAUGUGCAGGGGAACUCUCAUUUAUGAAACCAUCAGAUCUCGUGAUACUUAUUCACUAUCAUGAGAACAGCAAGGGAAAGACCCAUUCCCAUGAUUCAAUUACUUCCCACUGGGUCCCUCCCAUGACAUGUGGGGAUGAUGGGUGGGGACACAGCCAAACCAUCAUCAUCAUCCAUCUUUUAAUUUGCAGUUUAUUUUUAUGUUUGGCCUUAAAAGGUCUUAUCUUUUCCAAGAUUAUAAAUAAUACUCUUAUAUUGUUAUGUUUAAAGUUUUGAUUCCCUUGUAAGUUAUUUUUGUGAAAAGAGUAAAGGAAACAUCCAAUUACAUUUAUUUUUCAAAUGGCUGACCAUUAUCCUAUCUCCAUUUAUUUAAUAAUCCAUUUUUUCUCUGUUUUGAAAUGCCAUCUUUACUGACAUGUAUUCUCUAUAAAGAUUUGUCAGUCUUUAUUAAAUGAAUUGAAUUCAAGGAUGGCUAAAAUCAAUUACUUUUUCAUGGUUGUCUUAGGACCUGGGAUCAGAUUGGGACAGUCAGUAUCUAAUUUAUUUACCUAUUUAUUAUUUUAAAUUAUUUCACAUCUAAGUCAUAGCUUUACAGUGUUCUAAACAGCCACCUCCCCCAAAAUAGGUCCAAUACUUCUGAUUUAUAUAAACAAUGAGGAAAUAACUAGACAGCCAGAAAUAGAUUCCUUUAAAAUACCAGGAGGAUUAAUUGGCUAGUGAUGAGAUAAUACAUCUCCAACUGAUAAUUAAAUAUGAUUGUUCUUUGUGGAAAUAUGAAGUAAUUGCAUGCAAGGUGGGAUUAGUUUUUAUUGCUUUAGUUGGUGUACAACAUUGAGUCUCAACUUUUUAAAUUUUUAUUUUAUUUUAUUUGAUAUGAAGUCUUGCUAUGUUGCCCAGGCUGGUCUCAAGUACUUGGGUUUAAGUGAUCCUCCCAGCUCAGCUUCCCAAGUAGCUGGGAUUCCUGGGAUGUGCCACCAUAAUUAGGUAGAUGUGAACUUUUAACAAUGGCCUACUCAUUUAUAGUAGAUUGGGAAGACCAGAAUGACUGGAAUCUAUAGGAAAACUUCAACAGACUAUAGACACAGAUUUUAGCAUCCUCAUCCUCAGCUAUCAUAGACACUUGGAGUUUUUUUAUUUAUUUGGUUUAUAGUAUUGUUCAAGUGUGCUGUUUCUUUAUUGAUUUUUUAUGUUGGAGUAUUGAAGUUUUUUUAUUUUUUUAAAUUUUAUUUCUCUGACACUGGCUCUGAGGUGACAUGAACCUUUUUAUUAUUAUUGUAUUUUUGCUCAUUUCUCUUUUUAGUUCCCUUAAUAUUUGCUUUAUAUAUUUAUAAAUGAUGGUAGGUGCAUACAUAUUUAUGACUGUUAUAUCUUCCUGAUGAAGAGAACUUUUAUCAUUAUAUAAUGUAUUUCUUUGUCUUGUGAAUAACAUCUGUUUUGUUUGAUGGAAGUAUAGCCACCUCUGCUCUCAUUUGGUUACUAUCUGUACAGAAUAUCUUUUUCUAUCACUUCACUUUUAGCCUAUGUGUAUCCUUAAAUCUAAAAUGAGUCUCUUGUAGACAACAUAUAGUUGGGUCUCUUAAACUUAACCAUUUAAUCACUCGAUGUCUUUUGAUUGGGGACUUUAAUCCAUUUAUAUUUAAAGUAAUUAUUGGUAGAGAAGAACUUACAAUUGCCAUUUUGUUCUUUCCUGUUUUGUAGUUCUUUUGUUCUUUUUUCUCCUCUUGAUGCUUUGCUUGGCAUUUUAUUGAUUUUUUUUGUAGAUAUAGUCUUUGUUCUCUUUCUCUUUUUCUUUUUUGUAUCUUCUGUAUGUAUUUUUGUGUGUGGUUACCAUAAGUCCUAUGUAAAAUAUUUUAUUACUAAAACCAUCCAUUUUAAGCUGAUAACAACUUAGAAGUAUUAAGUAUGCUUUAAUUGCAUGCAAAUAUCUCUAUACUUUUACUCCCCACUACACAAUUUAUAUUAUUGAUGUCACAAUUUAUAUCUUUUUAUACUGUAACUUCAUUAACAAAUUUUUGUAAAGUUAUUCUUAAUAUUUUUUGACUUUUAACUUGUGUACUAAAAUUAAAAUCAAUUUACACACCAUCA